rnacentral:rRNA from 1 species
GAUGAACGCUGGCGGCGUGCCUAAUACAUGCCAGUCGAGCGAACAGACGAGGAGCUUGCUCCUCUGACGUUAGCGGCGGACGGGUGAGUAACACGUGGAUAACCUACCUAUAAGACUGGGAUAACUUCGGGAAACCGGAGUUAAUACCGGAUAAUAUAUUGAAGCGCAUGGUUCAAUAGUGAAAGACGGUUUUGCUGUCACUUAUAGAUGGAUCCGCGCCGCGUUAGCUAGUUGGUAAGGUAACGGCUUACCAAGGCGACGAUGCGUAGACGGCCUGGGAGGGUGGUCGGCCACAGUGGAACUGAGACACGGUCCAGACUCCUACGGGAGGCAGCAGUAGGGAAUCUGCCGCAAUGGGCGAAAGCCUGACGGAGCAACGCGGCGUGAGUGAUGAAGGUCUUCGGAUCGUGAAACUCUGUUAGUAGGGAAGAACAAAUGUGUAAGUAACUAUGCACGUCGUGACGGUACCUAAUGAGAAAGCCACGGCUAACUACGUG